CCUACGGGUGGCAGCAGUGGGGAAUAUUGGACAAUGGGCGAAAGCCUGAUCCAGCCAUGCCGCGUGUGUGAAGAAGGCCUUCGGGUUGUAAAGCACUUUCAGUGGGGAAGAAAGCCUUGGGGCUAAUACCCUCGAGGAAGGACAUCACCCACAGAAGAAGCACCGGCUAACUCCGUGCCAGCAGCCGCGGUAAUACGGAGGGUGCGAGCGUUAAUCGGAAUUACUGGGCGUAAAGCGCGCGUAGGCGGUCUGAUAAGCCGGUUGUGAAAGCCCCGGGCUCAACCUGGGAACGGCAUCCGGAACUGUCAGGCUAGAGUGCAGGAGAGGAAGGUAGAAUUCCCGGUGUAGCGGUGAAAUGUGUAGAGAUCGGGAGGAAUACCAGUGGCGAAGGCGGCCUUCUGGACUGACACUGACGCUGAGGUGCGAAAGCGUGGGUAGCAAACAGGAUUAGAUACCCCGGUAGUC
rnacentral:rRNA from 1 species